rnacentral:rRNA from 1 species
AGUGAACGCUGGCGGUAGGCCUAACACAUGCAAGUCGAACGGCAGCACAGUAAGAGCUUGCUCUUACGGGUGGCGAGUGGCGGACGGGUGAGGAAUACAUCGGAAUCUACUUUUUCGUGGGGGAUAACGUAGGCAAACUUACGCUAAUACCGCAUACGACCUACGGGUGAAAGCAGGGGAUCUUCGGACCUUGCGCGAUUGAAUGAGCCGAUGUCGGAUUAGCUAGUUGGCGGGGUAAAGGCCCACCGAGGCGACGAUCCGUAGCUGGUCUGAGAGGAUGAUCAGCCACACUGGAACUGAGACACGGUCCAGACUCCUACGGGAGGCAGCAGUGGGGAAUAUUGGACAAUGGGCGCAAGCCUGAUCCAGCCAUACCGCGUGGGUGAAGAAGGCCUUCGGGUUGUAAAGCCCUUUUGUUGGGAAAGAAAAGCAGCAGGUUAAUACCCCGCUGUUCUGACGGUACCCAAAGAAUAAGCACCGGCUAACUUCGUG